UACGUAGGGUCCAAGCGUUGUCCGGAUUUAUUGGGCGUAAAGAGCUCGUAGGCGGCUUAGUAAGUCGGAUGUGAAAACUCGGGGCUCAACCCCGAGACGCCAUCCGAUACUGCUGUGGCUUGAGUCUGGUAGGGGAACACGGAAUUCCUGGUGUAGCGGUGAAAUGCGCAGAUAUCAGGAGGAACACCCGUGGCGAAGGCGGCUCUCUGGUACGUGACUGACGCUGAGACGCGAAAGCGUGGGGAGCAAACAGG
rnacentral:rRNA from 1 species